GAUGAACGCUGGCGGCGUGCCUAAUACAUGCAAGUCGAGCGAACAGACGAGGAGCUUGCUCCUCUGACGUUAGCGGCGGACGGGUGAGUAACACGUGGAUAACCUACCUAUAAGACUGGGAUAACUUCGGGAAACCGGAGCUAAUACCGGAUAAUAUAUUGAACCGCAUGGUUCAAUAGUGAAAGACGGUUUUGCUGUCACUUAUAGAUGGAUCCGCGCCGCAUUAGCUAGUUGGUAAGGUAACGGCUUACCAAGGCAACGAUGCGUAGCCGACCUGAGAGGGUGGUCGGCCACCCUGGAACUGAGACCCGGUCCAGACUUCUACGGGAGGCCGCAGUAGGGAAUCUUCCGCCAUGGGCGAAAGCUUGACGGAGCAACGCCGCGUGAGUGAUGAAGGUCUUCGGAUCGUAAAACUCUGUUAUUAGGGAAGAACAAAUGUGUAAGUAACUAUGCACGUCUUGACGGUACCUAAUCAGAAAGCCACGGCUAACUACGUG
rnacentral:rRNA from 1 species